ACCUUGUUUGCUGCUGUUUGAGAUGUGAUGAGAAGAGACAAGAAAUAGAGAAAGUUCACCGUCGCAGUUCGCAUUCGCCGUUCACCAUCGCAGUUUGCAUUCGCUGUUCACCGUCGCUCGUCACAGUUUACGUUUGCUGUUCACCGUUGCGGUUCGCGCUCGCCUUUCACUGUUCGUCGUCCCUCGCGUCGUCCUUUCUCUUCCCCUCUUUUAUGUGUGCGAAACCUAAUUCCCUAUUUGGCGACUUUUUUCUUCUCUUCCAACCUCACUGAACACUGAAGCUCAGAACUAGUUAUCUGCUGUUGGUGCUUAGAAAAAUAGUAAGAAAGCAACUCUAGUUCUCUGUCAAAAGUUGAAGAAUUACUGGACAAAGAGAUAUGGGAUUAUCAGGCUAAAAAUUGUGUCCAGACUUUGGAGGGUCACACACACACAAUGUAUCUGAUGUAUGCUUUCAUCCUGAGCUCCCUAUAAUUAUUACUGGUUCUGAGGAUGGUACAGUACGAAUAUGGCACUCCACAACGUAUACGCUUAAGAAUACAUUGAACUAUGGUCUUGAAAGAACAUUAUUUCCAUUCAAAAUAUGGUUUAUUCUGGUGUACCUAUGUAUUUUUAGAGACGAUAACAAUGGUUGCCAUUGGUAAAUAUGACUUCUUUUUUUAAUUUAUAAUUAAAAAAUCCUUGAAAAAUCAUGCUGGUUGUUCAUGUAUUUUUGUGUAUUUCUAUAUACUGUUUGUAGAUCUGUAUACUAUUUGGAGAUGAUGAUAAUGCCGAAUUGAAAAAAACUUAAAAGGGAGUUCGCCGUUUGGUUAGGCGAACUUGCCAAUUUUUAUAGAGUUCGACGGACCAAUGAAAAAAAAAUCGUAUUUUGGGAAUUAAAGUCCAAAAAUCAUGUUUGGAGAAAUAUGAAUUUUUUUAUUUUAUUAUUGAAAAAAAUCCUAGUUAAAAUUAUAUACUUGU